UACGUAGGGUGCAAGCGUUGUCCGGAUUAUUGGGCGUAAAGGCGCUCGUAGGCGGUUUGUCACGUCGGGAGUGAAAACUCAGGGCUCAACCCUGAGCGUGCUUCCGAUACGGGCAGACUAGAGGUAUGCAGGGGAGAACGGAAUUCCUGGUGUAGCGGUGGAAUGCGCAGAUAUCAGGAGGAACACCGGUGGCGAAGGCGGUUCUCUGGGCAUUACCUGACGCUGAGGAGCGAAAGCAUGGGGAGCGAACAGG
rnacentral:rRNA from 1 species